rnacentral:snRNA from 1 species
GGAUGUGAAGGCGAUCCGGCUGUGACAUGUGUCACCCCAUUGAUCGCCAGGGUUGAUGUGGCUUAUCUGGUUGACUAGGUGGGGUCCCCUUCCUCCCUCACUGCUCCAUGUGCAUCCCUCCCAAAGCUGCACAAUGGUUCCAAGAGGAUGACUUUCUCUGAUGAUAAAAAAUGUUAACCAACAGCUUCUGAUGGGAGCUAUCAAAAUUAAAAAUUUCUUUUUACUUUCCUUUAAUAUACUUCUAGGUAAAAUCAUGUUUCAGCACCUUAAUCAGAGGAUAUAAAAAACAGACAGGUGAGAGGUCUAAUUGGUAGAUCUAUUUCUCU